CCGGAGCAAUGCCCGUUUCUUAGAGAAAGUGGAACAGGGGAGUCGGCGUUUUCUCCAGUUCAGACUCCUGCUUAUACCGUGGCAGGUCUGUUCAUUCAGGGAGGCUAUGAAAUACAAUUACUUAUAAAAGUCAAGACAUCUAGGCGUACAUUUCCAUCUAUCUGGGAUGAUACAGACAUGGUCCUACCUAAAAGCCAGAUGAAUAGCUGAAUUAUUUUUAUCAUUCCAAAACUUCCACUUUUCCAUUCUUUGUGACUCUGUUGUCUGACAGUCAAAAGGUCCCAUCAUCCACGCUGUAAGGAUAAAGAACUUCCUAAAGCUGAGCCUAAACACAGUGAUUUUUUGCAGGGAAGAUGUUACCUUAACCUAAUCGAAUAGCAUCUCAGUGGGGAAAAGUCAAGGAAGAGGAAAGGAUAUCAGUGUUGCAUGUACAAAGAGGAAAAGCCAUGUGAACACACAGCAAAAAGGUGGCUGUCUGCAAAUCAAGGAGAGAAGCCUCAGGAAAAACCAAACCUGCCAGAACCUUAAUUUUGGACUUCUAGCCUCCAGAACUUUCCAUCCUCAGGCUCAAGCAGGAAUUUAUUCUGGUUUAGUGAUAUUAUCCUGCCAUCAUCCAGCCGGCUCACAUCCUCUGCACCAUCUGUUUGUGAUAUAUCUUCACUACAGCUUUUGUUACAAGAAGGAAAGUAUU